UACGGGAGGCAGCAGUGGGGAAUAUUGCACAAUGGGCGCAAGCCUGAUGCAGCCAUGCCGCGUGUAUGAAAAAGGCCUUCGGGUUGUAAAGUACUUUCAGUCGUGAGGAAGGUGUUAAGGUUAAUAACCUUAGCAAUUGACGUUAGCGACAGAAGAAGCACCGGCUAACUCCGUGCCAGCAGCCGCGGUAAUACGGAGGGUGCGAGCGUUAAUCGGAAUUACUGGGCGUAAAGGGCACGCAGGCGGUUAAUUAAGUUGGAUGUGAAAUCCCCGGGCUUAACCUGGGAAUGGCAUUCAAGCUGGUUAGCUAGAGUCUUGUAGAGGGGGUAGAAUUCCAUGUGUAGCGGUGAAAUGCGUAGAGAUGUGGAGGAAUACCGGUGGCGAAGGCGGCCCCUGGACAAAGACUGACGCUCAUGUGCGAAAGCGUGGGGAGCAAACG
rnacentral:rRNA from 1 species